AAUCAACGCUGGCGGCGUGCCUAAUACAUGCAAGUCGAGCGCGAAAGUAGGCUUCGGCCUACGAGUAGAGCGGCGAACGGGUGAGUAACGCGUGGGUGAUCUACCCUCGAGUGGGGAAUAACACCGGGAAACUGGUGCUAAUACCGCAUGACAUCUUCGGUUCGUUCCGAAGAUCAAAGCUGGGGACCGCAAGGCCUGGCGCUUGAGGAGGAGCCCGCGUCCGAUUAGCUUGUUGGCGGGGUAAUGGCCCACCAAGGCUUCUAUCGGUAGCCGGCCUGAGAGGGCGGACGGCCACACUGGGACUGAGACACGGCCCAGACUCCUACGGGAGGCAGCAGUAGGGAAUUUUCCGCAAUGGGGGAAACCCUGACGGAGCAACGCCGCGUGGAGGAUGAAGGCCCUCGGGUCGUAAACUCCUGUCGAUCGGGAAGAAUGCACUCGGGUUAAUAGCCCGCGGUGUUGACUGUACCGGUGGAGGAAGCCACGGCUAACUCUGUG
rnacentral:rRNA from 1 species